GCACUUCUCCGAGAGCUGGGAAUUUUUUUUUUUAUAAACCACAACCAAACCUUCGUUGACACCUUUGCCAAGCCAAUAAACUGCAGUUCAUGGGAAAGACUUCAGUCUCUCCUCCUCUGACUCGGGACAGUUGGAGGAGCAGGACUCAGAGAUUCACUUUGGCAUGACCCUGUAAUAAUGCAGAGUCACUGACCAUCUGGCUCAGCUGGGAGUAGAGCUGCUGGAUGACCCCAGGAGAAAUGCACGCCCAUUGUAGAAACAUCAGAAAAUGUAGCAAGAUUCAAAAGGAAAAAAAAAAAAGUCAAAUAACUUAGUACCUCAGCUGUCUCUGCAGCCAUCUUUCUUUGCAUAUCUGGGCCUACCUUUAAUUUUUAAA